rnacentral:rRNA from 1 species
CCUACGGGUGGCAGCAGUGAGGAAUAUUGGUCAAUGGGCGCGAGCCUGAACCAGCCAAGUAGCGUGAAGGAUGACUGCCCUACGGGUUGUAAACUUCUUUUGUGGAGGAGUAAAGUGAGGCACGUGUGCCUUUUUGUAUGUACUUUAUGAGUAGGGAUCGGCUAACUCAGUGCCAGCAGCCGCGGUAAUACGGAGGAUCCGAGCGUUAUCCGGAGUUGUUGGGUUUAAAGGGAGCGUAGAUGGGCUGUUAAGUCAGUUGUGAAAGUUCGCGGCUCAACCGUAAAAUUGCAGUUGAUACUGGCAGUCUUGAGUACAGUUGAGGUAGGCGGAAUUCGUGGUGUAGCGGUGAAAUGCUUAGAGAUCACGAAGAAUUCCGAUUGCGAAGGCAGCUUACUAAACGGCCACUGACAUUGAUGCUCGAAAGCGUGGGUAUCAAACAGGAUUAGAUACCCCUGUAGUC